UGUCUGAUGAUAUGAACUGUGUGAUUUAGUGGCGACGCUGCCCAUUCCUAAGGUCACAACAGCAGAUUAUAAACAAAAAAGUGACUCCAACUGUACCUAAAAUAUUACUUAGUUCAUUAUCAAAGAAAAACUAAAUUACAAGUCCUGUGGUUUUCAUACCUAGUAAAAGAUUCAGAAUUGACGUCUCUGGAUCUGUAGAAUAUGGAUCUUGCAUUUCUUCCCUAAGAGAUUUUGGUUUCUGCAUAUCAUCCACAAAAAUUUGCUCUUAAAUAAUGAUGGAACCAAAACGUCAAAAACGACAGAUAAGUGCUAUUUAUCCUUGGCAAUUUUAUUUUCCACAUCAUUGUAACAGAUCUGAUAUUUACAAUACUUUUAUACAUUUAUACAGUAUAAUGAUUACGUAUUCAACAAGGACUAGCUGCAUAGCAAUAAAUAAAAUAUUUAAAUUUUCAUAACAUACACUUUGCAUCAUAAGUUAUUUAUUGUCAUAGAUUACCAUUUUUAACCAGGGACUUUGGAAGGACUCCAAAGCCUUAUUACCUAUCCGCUCGGUUCCAAGCCAAGCUUGCAACGGAACGGUUAAGUCAACUGAUCUAAUCAACAACAAAGAGCAACAAAUUAGCUAAAUACAUAAACUGCUAAGCUACACAUUGACCUUAAAAUCUAUUAUUGUCUAAUCAUGAAGUUUAAAUUGACUAUAUUAAGGACAGACUCUAAAUGGCUUGGAUUUUCGUUCACUAUUGAAGAUAUGUAGUGAAAUGGAUAUGUUCUUGUGAAUCGAUGUUCCUCAGUAUUUGGAAACAGAAAAUGAGCAAGGGCGAGUCUGCCGUUCGCUGUUUAAAACAAACGAAACUAAAACAACAUUUGUGCAAAUAUAUCACAUU